rnacentral:rRNA from 1 species
CACGUAGGCACCAAGCGUUGUCCGGAUUUAUUGGGCGUAAAGAGCUCGUAGGCGGUUCAGUAAGUCAGGUGUGAAAUCUUUGGGCUUAACCCAAAGCGUGCACUUGAUACUGCUGUGACUUGAGUUCGGGUAGGGGAGUGGGGAAUUCCUAGUGUAGCGGUGGAAAUGCGCAGAUAUUAGGAGGAACACCGGUGGCGAAGGCGGGUCUCUGGGCCGAUACUGACGCUGAGGAGCGGAAGGCCAGGGGAGCAAACGGG